rnacentral:lncRNA from 1 species
GAAGCAACUAAUACGAGAACUUCAGGACACCACUGGCUUACCAGUGCUUCACUCGACUGUGAAAGCAUCAUCAUCUGAAAAAGAAAGUGAUGGAAUCCCAUUAUUUCAAAGAGCAGCUAACAGUAUUGUUGCCGAAUAUUUAAAGAGAUGUAAUUUCGAGUACACAUUGUCAACAUUUUUACCUGAAAGUGGGACUACUUUGGAAAAGGUGAUAAAUUGAAUACUUGCUGGAAAAAUACUUAGUUGUGCAUGAUACGUACUGUACAGUACUGAUUAUUAGAAACCUUAUGCAACCCCACACAGAAAAAUCAUGUCGUGCAUGUUGGGAAUACUUGGCGAUUUGCUUGGUUAUACUCUUCGUCAAAUUUGUUGAAUAUGAAUGUAUUUUGGGAAUAAUUACGUUUUGGAUAUCGAAUCUUGCCUAAAAUUGCAAAAAACUUGGCCACCUGUGACAUACACAGUGAACUCUAACAAGACUGCCCAUACUUGCCUGAAGCCAACCGUGCGAGGAAAUUGCACUUUUAAAAAGACUAAGAAGAGUUUCGAGGAGUGGGAAAUUCAGUCAAAGUUUAUUUUCGACGAAAAUGAGCAAGAAAAGUCGUUUUUCAUGAAAAGACUUCAAUUUUAAAACCCAAAUAUGAUCUAUUUGAUAGUUAGAACUGCUUUGCAUCUCACAACAGCGAAAGUUUGAAAGGUAUCAUGUUUGUUUUGAUAAAAAACGACACUAGCCGUUGAACGUGCCGAAGUGAACUUUGCCCUUUAACUAAAAAAACAAACUUUAAAACAUAAAUCCACCGACCAAUACCUGUUUUGUAUUAAAGUAUAGGUAUAGUUGUUUAUUUUGAGUGCUUUUUGACAUCUCUAAAACGUGAAUAAAUCGAUUUUCCGUAGAAACCCCCCGGGAGAAGUUCGCGCACUGUGACUUUCAAAAGAGAACUGGGGAGAGUUCAAUUUCCUCGUAACUUUGUUUUUUUAGCAAAAAUACGUCGAAAAAUUAGGUUUUUCGUCCGAAGAUUUCAAUUUCAAAAAUUUAAACUUGGUUUUCAGGGGAUAGUUCUAUGUAUUCUGCAUCAACUAGCUGCAAAACCGUUUGAGGUAUCAGCUUCAUAUUUGAAAUAUUUAACAAAUUUGAACGUGCCGAAGAAAAUUUCGCUCUUCAACUCACAAAAAAAUAAGGUUUAAUUAAAUCUCUCUACGUUUACGAAACUUGUUUUGGAGUAAAGUUCAAGUAUUGUUGUUUGUUUUAAGCCUUUAUUCUUGUUCAAAUAAUGCUGUUUUGUGUAAAAAAAUCGGCGUUCUUUUGGUGAUGUAAUUUCGGACUUUGGCCUUUUUGGCGGCCUUCAGUUUGGCUUCAAAGAUGGCGGCCGAGUUAUCGUUCCAGUCUUACUAGAGUUCACUGGACAUACAUCAUGUCAUGCAUGAAGGAAUGACACAAUAUACUGUAUAGGGAUUCGCAUUUUGAAUUUGCAAGGAUUUAUAUAUAACAUCUAUCUUUCAGAGGUUUUCAUGCAAAGACAUAUUACAUUUGCUUAACAUCGAUCCUAACUCAAAACUAUAUCUAAAUCUGG